rnacentral:rRNA from 1 species
CGUUAGCGGCGGACGGGUGAGUAACACGUGGAUAACCUACCUAUAAGACUGGGAUAACUUCGGGAAACCGGAGCUAAUACCGGAUAAUAUAUUGAACCGCAUGGUUCAAUAGUGAAAGACGGUUUUGCUGUAACUUAUAGAUGGAUCCGCGCCGCAUUAGCUAGUUGGUAAGGUAACGGCUUACCAAGGCAACGAUGCGUAGCCGACCUGAGAGGGUGAUCGGCCACACUGGAACUGAGACACGGUCCAG